rnacentral:rRNA from 1 species
UGCGUAGGUGGUUUCUUAAGUCAGAGGUGAAAGGCUACGGCUCAACCGUAGUAAGCCUUUGAAACUGGGAAACUUGAGUGCAGGAGAGGAGAGUGGAAUUCCUAGUGUAGCGGUGAGAUGCGUAGAUAUUAGGAGGAACACCAGUUGCGAAGGCGGCUCUCUGGACUGUAACUGACACUGAGGCACGAAAGCGUGGGGAGCAAACA